rnacentral:rRNA from 2 species
AAAUUGAAGAGUUUGAUCAUGGCUCAGAUUGAACGCUGGCGGCAGGCCUAACACAUGCAAGUCGAGCGGUAGCACAGAGAGCUUGCUCUCGGGUGACGAGCGGCGGACGGGUGAGUAAUGUCUGGGAAACUGCCUGAUGGAGGGGGAUAACUACUGGAAACGGUAG